GUUAAACUUUUACUCCACAUGGCUGACAAACAGAGCAAGAUGAAGCCCAAAAUAAAGGAGCCACGAGCUGCUCUGGAGAAAUCAAGAAAAAUGGUAGAGAAGAUCAAAGAACUUGAUGAAAAAUUGAUUACUGUUUCCAAAGAAAAGGGUGAUUCAGCCCUGACCUCAGCAAGUAUGCACAUGACUUUGUGUCUGAAUGUGGUUUUCAUUCUUAAUGAAAAUGAAAUGUAUUUUUACAUUCUCAAAAUCAAAAUACGGUUGCAGAUGCUGAGAAGUGCUGUAACCAGCUGAUCAAGCAGAAAAUUAGCAUGAAAGAACAGAUAUCCAGGAUAUGAAAGAGCCGUUAGAGAAGGAGAAGAAUGUUGCCAAUGCUUGAAGUGCUCAAAACUAAUGGAUCUGAGAAGAGACUUGGAAGGAUAGGAGUCGAUUCUGGCAAAGUCAGAAAAGGAAAAACAGAGUCUGGAUGACAAAGUGCACAGGAAACCUUAGCCAAUGGGAUGAAAGCAUUACUAAUGCCCAGAAGGAAAAGACAGAUCUAGAGAAGCUUAAAGAAGCCAUCACUGGUUUAGAAUUAAAGCUGUUAUUACUAGAAAAGAAAAUCCAAAGAUACAUGCAGCCACUCUGGAGAACGUCAAGCAGCACAGACUUUUUUUUUUUUUU
ensembl:lncRNA